GUGUGGCCUCUGUACCUUUUAAUACCAUGUAGGUGGCACAUGAAGUUGCAGUGAAGGAGGCGUGGCCUCUGAUCCUGCCAGUUGCGGUGAAGGAGGCGUGGCCUCUGAUCCUGCCAGUUCCAGUAAAGGAGGCGUGGCCUCUGAUCUUGUCAAUUCCAAUGAAGGAGGCGUGGCCUCUGAUCCUGUUAAUUCCAAUGAAAGAGGUGUGGUCUCUGAUCCUGUCAGUUCUGGUGCAGGAGGCGUGGCCUCUGAUCCUGCCAGUUGUGGCGAAGGAGGCACGGCCUCUGAUCCUGUCAGUUCCGGUGAAGGCGGUGUGGCCGUUCUGUCUGUGGGUUGCCGUGUCAGUGAUUUUCCAGCCAAAUUGGGCUACUUCAAAAAUGCAGUCAUGGGUGAAAAUAAUAAGGUUGCAGGUUGAGGCUUUUUGAGCUACUUUCAAAAUAGCAUAGUGGUUAAAAUAGUGGUUGAUGUCCAUGCGUAUGUCCCGUAAGCGCACGUGCAAAUCAACGCCGACGAACCAUUUAAAAUCAUUUUAAAAGGACAGUAUAACAAGAAUUGGCAAACUGGAGAUGAGAAAAGGAGUGUGAGGG
ensembl:lncRNA